GUGCGCCGCGCGCGGCGGCUGUGCUACUCUCGGCCGUUGGAGGGCCUGCUCCUGCCGGAGGAAGGAGGAUCCCGAGUGCCACGUUGCGAGUUCUUGUGGUGUCCGCCUCCUUCCGGACUCACCACCUCAGGUAGUUGUAUGCCCAGGCCUAUGCUCCAAGGAGGACAAUAUUUAAGAAGUCGGAGAAAGAGAAAAGCCCAAAAAAGAGGCAGAAGAACAGCCUGAGAGACAGAGCAAGUUUUUGUUGCAACAGACACAGAAGAGUAAAAAUAUCACCAACUGCUACAAGAAGAAGAGUAAGAGGAAGAAAAUCACAGAGAACUCUAAAAAAAGAGCUGAAAGCGCCCUAACUGACAGAGACAUGCGAUAGUUUUUCAGAAGAAGAUGGAACAGGGCAUUUCUACAGAGACAACAGGAGAUUUGUGUGAUGCAUCAACCUACCACGUGGAACAGAGCUGUGGAGACUCAUCUGCCAAAUAAAUGACCUCAGCCCAAGCCCUUGUCUUAGAGUUUGACUUUAGAGGAACCUCAGCUAAGACACUUGUCAUCAAGCUGAGCCUCUGCAAGCAAAUACCUACCUCUCCCUUUUAUAUAUUCAUCCCCCAUCUGAGAUAAAAGGCCUCUGCUAUCCUGUGCUCUGGGAGAUCCAC
rnacentral:lncRNA from 1 species